UUGGUUGCAGCUGAGAAAACUGAACAGGCAUAGUUGGGGAGGAACAUUAGGAGACCACCAUUACAGUUGAGAUGAGAGGGUAUAAGCUAGAGGUGGCAGAGCUAAAUUGUUUUCUUUGGUGCAAAGCUGCCUAUAUGCCCUUUUCUAAGUGUUUUCCAACAGAAUUCAUGAGAUCAUUCCACAGGAUCUCAGCAAGUGCAGUUUCUGAUAAUUUGGUCGAAUUUGUUCAGUAGCUGCUGCAACGGAGGGCUUCAAUCUUUCAUCUACACUUAACAAGGGGGGUCCGGAAUAGUGGCAAAACCGUAGUUAGCAAGGCUGAGGCUCGCAGACACCUAGGCAUCGAAUUUAACGGUCCAAAUUGCAGGGAAAGCGCGCACUCCCUGUUCUUAAGUUUUUCCCUAAACAGGGAGAUAACACUAAAAAGCUGUCCCGCGUGAAGGCCCCUAGCUUCAGUGAACAAAGCCUGACUGCUCGCCCGCGUCCAACAAAGACAACGCUCUUCCGGUCUUCGUGACCCACCCGGUGAGCAGCCCAAACCCGCCUCCGUCCUCCCUCAGCUCCCACCAAUCGGGUCGCAGGGCCUCGAGCCCCGCACUGCUGAGUCCGUUGACACUGCGUCCGGGGCCAGAUGACGACAUCAGCGCGGGGUCCCCACAACGCCAUGGGGCAGAGCCAACUCUCGAGCGCGUGACCGAAGCCUGUAGUUUUUCGCUUCCGUCACUUCCGGGUGCGACAAUCUCUUCUGUCCGGCCAGACACUGGAGUCGUUAGGUGCCUCCUUGCUUCUGACGGCCCACACGUUUGCCCCUUCUCUCUGUUCCCAGCUGGAGGGACAUGAGUGUCCCUGGGCCGUCGUCUCCAGACGGGGCCCUGCCACGGCCACCCUACUGCCUGGAGGCCGGGGAGCCGACCGCUGGUUUAAGUGACACUUCUCCAGAUGAAGGGUUAAUAGAGGACUUGACUAUAGAAGACAAAGCUGUGGAGCAACUGGCAGAAGGAUUGCUUUCUCAUUAUUUGCCAGAUCUGCAGAGAUCAAAACAAGCCCUCCAGGAACUCACACAGAACCAAGUUGUAUUGUUAGACACACUGGAACAAGAGAUUUCAAAAUUUAAAGAAUGUCAUUCUAUGUUGGAUAUUAAUGCUUUGUUUGCUGAGGCUAAACACUAUCAUGCCAAGUUGGUGAAUAUAAGAAAAGAGAUGCUGAUGCUUCAUGAAAAAACAUCAAAGUUAAAAAGCCUCAGCCAACACUUCUAUCCGGAAGCUUAGGGAAUGCUUGAUCCAGAGACGUGGAAUCCUAUGUAGCAGAGCAUCCAACUAGGGAAUCUACUUGAAGUGAAGGAGGUGUGGCAGUGGGUCCUGCCCAUGGGAUUCUCUGGUUGUGUUAUGAACUGCACCACCCAGAAACAACUGGCCUUAUACAUUGUUGAGAUGGUCUUCUCAAGUUACAACUGAAUGGGAGCUCUGAGAAAGGAUAUGAAAGAAUGGAGUGCCAUCUUUCAGGACACGGUGCAUUUAUUAAAUCAGUGACCUCUCUACGGUGCUACGUCCUUAGUAGGAAGGAUACAAGGGUCAGGAAACUAAGGGGUGGAAGGCGAAGUGGCCCUACUUACCGUCAUUUCCAGUGACCCACUUACUACCAUUCCCCUGUGAUCCACUGGGGGAUUUUCUGCUUUCUUUCUCUGCAACUCUAGGCUCCGCAUGAUUGGAGGUCUUGAUUCUCAAAGGGAACACACUCUUGCCAGGGACAUAAUAAAGGUCGCACUGAACUAUAAGUUAUGGAUGCUGACAGGGCGCUUUGUACUUUUUGUGUUCAGGCACCAGCGGGCAAGAGAGGAGCUGUUAUACUAGCAAAAGCAACGAACUGAUCAUUAGCGGGAGACUGAUCCUGCCUGAAGAUGGUGCCACUGGUGGCUGUGGUAUCGGGGCCCCGUGCCCAGCUCUUUGCCUGCCUGCUCAGGCUGGGCACUCAGCAGGCCGGCCUCCUUCAGCUGCACACCGGGGCCAGCCAUGCAGCCAGGAACCAUUAUGAGGUGCUGGUGCUGGGUGGGGGCAGUGGUGGGAUCACCAUGGCCGCCCGCAUGAAGAGGAAAGUGGGUGCAGAGAAUGUGGCCAUUGUUGAGCCCAGUGAGACACAUUUCUACCAGCCAAUCUGGACACUGGUGGGUGCUGGUGCCAAACAGUUGUCCUCAUCGGGUCGUCCCAUGGCGAGUGUGAUUCCGUCUGGUGUGGAAUGGAUCAAAGCUAGAGUGACUGAGCUGAACCCAGACAAGAACUGCAUUCACACAGACAAUGAUGACCAGGUAACCACUGGGGCCUUUGGAUUUUUUGUUAAUCUGAUGGCUUGUAUUAAUACACAACCAUCUUAAACGGGAUAGCUUUGUGUUGAAAGAGCAGUAUAUAUGCAUGAGUGUGCAUGAACGUAUGUGUGUUGAAUACUGCACAAGAUGGCAGGGUAUAUGGUAAGUGUAGGAUAUAUGGAAGGACUGAGUGAUAUUGAGUUAAUAAACAACUAAGGUAAGUAUUUGUUGAACACCCACCGUGCACCCUAUUGCUUAGUAUAGUAUCUUGCACCUGAAUGUUUAUCAAACCAUUUGUUUAUAUGUUACUAUGUGUUAAAAUAGCAAGCACCUUCCUCUUUCUCUUUUUCUGAAGCAGUCAGAUUUUCUACCUGACGCCUAGCCUCCCAGAGCAAUGGGAUACUGGAAAGUAUCCAUCCAGCCACCCUAGGGGGCACUCUGCCAGAACUGUAGGGGAAUCCUGUGACUCUGAGGUUCAUGCCAGCUCUAAGGAGAAUUGUUGCUGCAGCUUGAGGCUCAUAACUGCUCAGCACCUUUUAGAAGUCACCCACUCUCACCACUCAGAGGUCAAAGCUUUUCAGCAGUGGCUGCCCCAUGUUUAACUGAGGUGAUAAGAGCAGGAUGGUGGAAGGCCUGCUCAGAAGCCAUCCGCAGCUUUCUUUCCCCCACCUGCUGCUGAGCCCAGGACAGGGGCAGGCAGUGCAGCCACCGUGCUCUGACCUAUUCCAGGUUCCUGUGGUUUUGGGGCUCCCAGAGUGUUAUUGGUCUUAAUUCUCUGCCUCUUCCCCCUUCAACUGGAGACUGCAGCAUUUUCACGGAAUUGUAGAAUCAGAGUUGGUGAGGAUCCUAAAAUGUUUCCAAGUCCAACCCUUCCCUCCAACACAGAUUCAUCUGCUGAGGCAUUCUUUUGUUUUUGAGACACGGUCUCACUUUGUUGCCCAGGCUGGUGUGCAGUGGCACAAUCUU